CCUACGGGUGGCAGCAGUGGGGGAUAUUGGACAAUGGGGGGAACCCUGAUCCAGCGACGCCGCGUGAGUGAAGAAGUAUCUCGGUAUGUAAAGCUCUAUCAGCAGGGAAGAAGAAAGGACGGGACAUGAGGAAGAAGCCCCGGCUAACUACGGGCCAGCAGCCGCGGUAAUACGUAGGGGGCAAGCGUUAUCCGGAAUUACGGGGUGGAAAGGGAGCGUAGACGGUGCUGUAAGUCUGGAGGGAAAGGCGGGGGCCCAACCCCCGGACUGCUCUGGAAACUUGGUGACUGGAGUGCAGGAGAGGUGAGCGGACUUCCUAGUGUAGCGGUGCACUGCGUAGAUCUUAGGCGGAACCCCAGUGGCGACGGCGGCUCACUGGACUGUACCUGACGUUGCGGCUCGAACGCGUGGGGAGCACACAGGAUUAGAUACCCCUGUAGUC
rnacentral:rRNA from 1 species